AUGACUGAACAUCGGCGACAUGCAACUAUGCAUGGCAGAGGAUCCAGUUCAGAAGAUGUGGAGGAUGUCCUGGAUGAAGACGUUGCAGAGCGGGCAGUUGCCGCGGGUGUGCCGGAGCUCGCGGGAGCAGAGGCGGCAGAAGGUGUGGCCGCACGGGAUGAAGGCCGCGCCCUUGUGCCGCACCAUGCACACGCAGCACACCUGCAGCUCCUCCUCUUCUUCCUCUUCGUGGCGCUCGCCGCGACCGUCCUCGUCGUUGUCCUCGACCGAGCCGCACCGGGACGCGCCGCCGUCCUCGCCCGCUUCGUCCCAGUGGCCGUCGGCCUGCUCCAUCAGCGUCAUGAGGGACGUCGACGCCGCGGCCGGCGGCGGCAAAUCAUUGUCCUCCGCCUCCUCUUCGACGUCGCUGCCGCCCUCGUCGUCGACCACGGCGCGAAGCGACGGCGCGCGGGAGAAGGCGGCGGACGCCUCACCGGACGUGUAGUUGCUCUUGCCGCUGCUUCUCGGGGCGGCACGGCUCGCCGCAGCGCUAGGCUUGGUCUCCGACCCCGCCGCGUGCCACGCCCCCGCGGCGCGGCGGAGCCAGAGCCGGUGGCGCAGCGGCCUCCAGUUGAUCGCACCGCCGGCCCCGCCCUCGCCUCGAACGUCCCGGUCGAUGGCGUCCAUGAGCGUGCACGGCCUUUCCUCGUCGUCGUCGUCGUCCGGGAUCCUGAGGAAGUCGCGGAUGGCCGGUUCGGCGGGCGUGGAGAGCUGCUCCUUGAGCGUCAUGGCGCGCCGCAGCUCCGGCCGCCGGUCCAUCGGCAGGCCUCGAUCGGCGGCACGGCGUCUCGUUCGCGUCGGGGGGUGGUGACUGCGGUGGUUGAGAGGACAGAGAGGCGGGCUGCGGUUGCGCGCGAGUGGGGAGGACGGGAGACGCCGUGGACUGGAGCGGGUCUCGCGGGGUUUUUAAACCCUGGAACGCAAUUACCGCAAAGGCGCGCGGAUGGGAGCUAA
rnacentral:rRNA from 1 species